rnacentral:rRNA from 1 species
AUUGAACGCUGGCGGAAUGCUUUACACAUGCAAGUCGAACGGCAGCACGGACUUCGGUCUGGUGGCGAGUGGCGAACGGGUGAGUAAUGUAUCGGAACGUGCCCAGUCGUGGGGGAUAACGUAGUGAAAAUUACGCUAAUACCGCAUACGAUCUAUGGAUGAAAGCGGGGGAUCGCAAGACCUCGCGCGAUUGGAGCGGCCGAUAUCAGAUUAGGUAGUUGGUGGGGUAAAGGCCCACCAAGCCAACGAUCUGUAGCUGGUCUGAGAGGACGACCAGCGACACUGGAACUGAGACACGGUCCAGACUCCUACGGGAGGCAGCAGUGGGGAAUUUUGGACAAUGGGCGAAAGCCUGAUCCAGCCAUUCCGCGUGCAGGAUGAAGGCCCUCGGGUUGUAAACUGCUUUUGUACAGAACGAAAAGGCUUCUACUAAUACUAGGAGCUCAUGACGGUACUGUAAGAAUAAGCACCUGCUAACUACGUGCCAGCCGCCGCGGUAA